ensembl:lncRNA
CCCCGCCGCCCACCUGCCUGCGGGGCUGCCCCCGAGCGGGGAGGGCGGUGUGGCCCCGCAGCUCUGCGUGGAAGGGCUUCUUCCCCGCGUCCCAGCGUGUUUGCAACGUUGCAGUUUAUUCCGGCGUUUUACAAUCAGCUCCUAAGGAAAGAGGGUAGGAGUAAAGGGAUGUGAGAUCACAUGAGGAUAUUAAAAAAAAAAUAGGUGGUUGUGGAAGGCAACGUACUUAACCAGCAAAUCCCUAUGGGAGUGAGAAAGCUGAUUCCAUGUUAUUUGACCAGAAUGUGCUGCAGGCUGGACACGUGCCAGAUAUACUCGGCACAUUAAGACCUGGGAGUUGCUCUUUGAUUGUCUGAACUAUAAUUUGCAGCCUGAUGCCUGAAAAUAAACUGGAUUUUUUCAAGGACAGGAAGCUCUGCACUGUCAUCCUCCCAAUGUCACCCUCGGUGCCACCUCAAUAGGAUUUCCCAUUGUUCGAGGUCAGAAUUAUGAACUGACCUCAGAAAAAUAUCUUCAGGCACCAGCAAACCCAAAUGCUAACCUGGGCAGUGGCAUUCUGUUUGCUGUGAGUGGCGAGAUGUGCAAACCCCUGUUCACCACGCUGAACAACACUGAGCUAAAGCAUUCAACCUCCCACCCCAAGCUCCACAAACCGGCCUUUGCGGGUGUGCUCUUCAGUUAAGGAUAUUAAAUUAAGGCAUAAACUAUUUAUUGCUUGUGGAUGAUCGUACCAUGCUCCUGUCACAUCUCCUUUUGUUGCUACUGGGCACAAAAAUUCUGUAGAGGUUGAGAAACAUGUCGAUUUUCACCCACAUGUGAGCAGGCAGAGAGGGGAGCCCACAAACUGGAAACGCAGGAGGCAGAAAGGUUAUCAUGGAAAUGCCUGACAAUGACUUUGCAUUUAAAAAAAAAAAAAGAAAAGCAUCUCAAAUAUUCUGCUGUCUUAACACACUACCAAAUUAUUUUUAAUCAUGUGGAAAAAUGAUGUACAAAAUCCUCUCUGAAGCAGCUGAGGGUUUGCAUUCCUGCUUCACCCAAAGAUAGGAUCUUCUGAGCAGCGCAUGGAGCUUCCCCAGACAGACCUGAAUUUUUGAGAAAAAAUCAGUAAGGGUUCUCAGUCUAAGUAAUGAAGAUUUCUUCCUAUCAUCUAAUGGGAAUUAAACCCAGACUGCAGUAUAGGAAUCUUUCAUGGUAGCAGUGCGUCUCCUCCUGUCUGGGAAGGCCGUGUGGUGGAGAAGGCUGGAGCCUCUUCCUGGAUCAAUAUGAAAAAAAUGCUCUCACCUCUCCUCUUCCAAAUAUGAAUCCUUCCUGGCACCACACAACCAUGUAUGUUUGUUUGGAUUGAGCCAAUGUUUUUGCGGGAGGAUGUGAAAUUUCAGGAGGAGAUCUCUAAUAAUGUUAUAAAAUACCUCUUAUCCAGCAUGCUAGAAUCAAACAUUUCCUAGGAAAAACAAACACAGGAAAGGUUUCAUUGCACCACUUAACUCUUUAAGCAAAUAGCAUGUUGGUUUUCAAAAUAC